AACGAACGCUGGCGGCAUGCCUAACACAUGCAAGUCGAACGAGACCUUCGGGUCUAGUGGCGCACGGGUGCGUAACGCGUGGGAACCUGCCCUUAGGUUCGGAAUAACUCCCCGAAAGGGGUGCUAAUACCGGAUAAUGUCUUCGGACCAAAGAUUUAUCGCCUUUGGAUGGGCCCGCGUUGGAUUAGCUAGUUGGUAGGGUAAAAGCCUACCAAGGCGACGAUCCAUAGCUGGUCUGAGAGGAUGAUCAGCCACACUGGGACUGAGACACGGCCCAGACUCGGACGGGAGGCAGCAGUGGGGAAUAUUGGACAAUGGGCGAAAGCCUGAUCCAGCAAUGCCGCGUGAGUGAUGAAGGCCUUAGGGUUGUAAAGCUCUUUUACCCGGGAUGAUAAUGACAGUACCGGGAGAAUAAGCUCCGGCUAACUCCGUG
rnacentral:rRNA from 1 species